rnacentral:lncRNA from 1 species
UUUUUUUUUUUUUCAUUUUGUUUCCUUCUUUGUUCUUCUCUCUUUCUCUCUUCCUUCUUGUUACAUUAAAAACACACACACCACCAUUUUCAUGCCCACACCUGCAUUUCACUCUCUCAAAUACCCAUUUCAGCUGAAUAUAUUUGUUUGUUGCUUUUUAACUGAAUAUAUUUGGCUCUCAAAUAUUUCUGGGUUUUGAAUUGUUCUGUGUUCAAUUGUUUCUUCCAUUUUGCUUGACGAUGGUUUGCUUGUACAAGAAGGCACUUGCAGCGAUACGAUGACCUUGGCCACCGCCAAGUUGUUAGGUGAAUUCUCUAUUCCUGCUUUGAAAUAUCUGAAAAGUUAGAAUAUUUGGGUUCUUUUUUAAAGAAAUGGUAUUUUGAUUCUUAAAUGAAGUUGAUAAAAUGGGUGUUCUUUAUUUAUGCGAAAACUCUUCCUUUUAUGGUCUUUUGACUCGUUUUUCCUACGUUUAUGUUAAUGAAUAAUAGGCUAUGAAACUUAUUGGUUUGGUGAGAAAAUGAACUUUUGAUCUUAAGAAAUCUCAAAUUUUCUCUUUCUCAAAUUUUCGGAUGAAAAAUGUUCCAACCAAAGCUAUUGUGUGGGGGUUGCCAAUAGAGACGGGGAAUGAAGUGAGGGAAGUGAAGCGAAGAUGGGUGUUUGUAAAGGGAGAAAAUCUGGGAAAUCAGUUAGGGGAGAAGAGAGAAAGAGAGAAGAAAGAUGGAAAAAAUUAAAAAUAAAAUUAUUUUGAUGACAUCAUCAUGCUUAUGUGGCACACCACAUAAGCUAUUUUGUUAACUUGCCGUUUGACUGAUGGUUAACUAACAGUUUACAGCUAAAAUUAGAUUUAUUUCAGAAAAAAUCAUAACAUUGAAUGUCAAUAAAAAAAAUCAAGGGAACAAAAUCAAAAGCCCCCAAACGUUCAGGGGUUUUUUGCAAUUAUGCCUUGAUAAUAUUUACCCCGACCCACUCCAUGCCAUCCCUAUCCUUAACAGCAUGUUAAGGCAUAGAUCAGCAGCUAUCCUCUGAUAGCCCAAGUUCAAAUAUGCAUCUCCAAGCAAAGCAUCAUGCAAUAAGCCAAUAACCCCACCAAUGAAGUCUUCCUGAAAUUACUUGUAUUAUGAAUAGUAGUCAAAGUAAUUGGAAAAAAUGCAGAUCCUUUCUUUUAGUCAAAGUAAUUGGAAAAAAUGCAGAUCCUUUCUUUGAAAGAUGAGCACUAAAUAUCAAUGACCUAUCACUUAACACAGCUGUAUGCAACUUCUAUAAGACGGCAAGAUUUGGUUUACAACUGUUGGAUCACUAGCAAGUGAAUCAUAUAUAGACCAUAAUCUAAAUUUAUAUUCAAACCAUUAAUAGAUGACCCUGAUAUCUAUGUUGGACAACACCAAACCCAACUGAACACCCACCAUACCACUAUUAAACAUCUUUAUCACACUUGCCUCCCUCUCUGAGCAUCAAGAGCACAUUUUACCAACGCAUAUGACAACCAAUACCAAGAUAACAUCCAAAACCCAGCUGAAACAUAAUAAGAUGUCCUAUAUACCACUUUCUACAGACAACCUGGCAAGGAAAGUAAAAGAAAUAUUACUUGCAUCCUGGUUGCAGUUGUCUUAUAACUAGUCAAUCACAAUAUGCUCCAUGGUAACAUUUCUAGUAGGUUCCAACUCUUACAAUCUAAUCAUAAUGGCCAUAUGAUAUAUUGCUACAAAACAGGCAUCUAUAUAAAGCCAAGGGCAUGGCAAAUUCAUGCCUGGGCUCCUUUCACAAGAAAAGCUAGACCAAAGCGACAUCAAGAAUUCAAAACUUAUUCAUCCAUAGUUCCAAUAACAAGAAGCAUGGUGCAUCAGUCUACCAUUCAUGAAACUAAAAUCCUGACCAAUCAUGACUAUACCUCCUAAACUUCAAAAGAAAGACAGCACUUCAAUUUCCAAUAAUGAUAUUUUCUUUUUGAGAACUAUGGAGAGAGCUUAAUGUCAAAAGCUAAGACAGGAUAUCAGAAAAGCAAUCUCAACCAAUUCCCAUUAUGCAACAAUAAUUAUAUAGUGCAUUAAACCAAGUAAUAGAAUUAAGAAACUAAUAAGAAACUAUUAAUACUCAAUUCCCAGAUACAACCAAAUUUAGACAAUUAACUUCCUUCAAAGCAUAUAUGAUCAGUGCAGACUAGAGAAGGAUUCAAAAAAAAAACGCAUCACUCAUGAGAACAUAGAAAACAUUGAUUCACACUUGAGAAUAGAUGCUGCUCGAUUGAGAAAUAAUCCAUGUCACUUCCAACAAUUGAAAACAACCCAAACAAGGAAAAAAAAACUAAAUUCUUAUCCGAGCCAGCUCAUCUAUGUAUCAAAACUGGAAAUAUUCUCCCUGUAAAAGAAAAAUAAAAGAGCUGGAUAAUCCAAAACAUACUCAUGUAUAACCUCUAAGAAUCAUAGGAACCCAAAACAUAGAAAAAGAGAAAUAUUUACUAUUACUCUUUUUUUUUUCCCCACAUUCCAAUUUAAGCUGAAGCCUUCAAGUUAGGGCACUCCCUCGCAAAAUGCCCUGCCUCGCCACAUUUAUAACAUUCUGAUCCUUUGUUAUUGCUACAAUCCCUCGCCAAAUGCCCAAACCCUCCACAAUUAAAGCAGCCUCUGCUUCCACCGCCAGCGCCACUGUUUCUAUUGCACUCUCUGGCAAAAUGCCCAAAUUUCCCACAGUUGUAGCACUUCCCAGCCCCACCACCAGCAGACCCGCCGGCAUCUCUCCUACACUCUCUUGCAAAAUGCCCCGCCUCACCGCAAUUAUAACAAGAACCGCCGCCACCACCACUGUUGUAAGCAGAGUUGUUAUAGUUAUCAUUGUUGUCUAAAGAGAUAAGGUUGUUACUGCAAUCCCUGGCGAGAUGAUUCAGAUCCCCGCAGUUAUAACAACCGCCGCUUCCGUUCCUCCGAUCGUUUCCAGCCCUCCAACCGCCGCCGCCAGUGCGACGGUCCUUCUUACUGAUUUGUGAGCCACCAAUUGCGGUGACAUCAACAGCCUGGGUCUUGCCUCCGUUGCCUUGGGAAACAGUGAACUCAACAGAUUCACCCUCAGCGAGGCUACGAUAGCCUUCAGAUUUGAUGGAAGAUUGAUGAACGAAGAGAUCUUCGCCACCAUCGUCGGGAUGAAUAAAGCCGAAACCCUUUUGGUCAUCGAACCAAAGGACCUUGCCGGUGGAUCUUGAUUGCUGUUGUUCCUGCUGUUGCUCAGCCAUGGAAGGUAGUGGCGAUAGUGAUGGGAGAGAAAGUGAGAUGAUUAGAUUUAGGGUUUUGAUUGAGAAAAGAGGAGAAGAGAGGGAUUUAUAGCAAAGGCUGCUCUAAUUGUGGGGGCACCACCGACUUUUUACUCCUCAACUACUUAGGUUUAGAGUUGUAGGUCAUCAUCAUCUUAUUCCUGUCCCUUCUUUAAAUUUAAUAUUCAGUUAUUAUCCUUCAAUUUAUUUCUCAUUCCAACUCUUAAAAGAACUCAACACUCGAUCGUGUUGCAUUCAAUCAAAACUGUCUUUCUUACUCUUUUUUUCUGAUUACUUAAAUAAAUGACUUUUCACAUUUUUUCCUCAUCUUCUUCCUUACUUGACCUAGCCACCACCCAAUUCUAUCCACCAUCAUCAUCAGUCUACUCCGACCCUCUCAACUCUUUCCAAACCCUAACCUAAACCAAAUCUAUAAUCUUCCACAACCAGGGCAAUGCCUAGACUCUUUUUUCGGGAGGUGGAAUUUAAAUUAUAAAAUGUAUGGGAGCUAAAAUGUAAUUUUAUUGGUGUAUUAACUUAUAAUUUUGUUAUUUUUAAUAAGGACCAAAUUAAAAAAUUGUUCUUGGAGGGCCAACAUACAUUUUUACCAUAUUUUAACUUAAAAUUUACAAAUUUUAAAAGGCUUAAACGAAAAUUUUCCUUUUAAAGGGCCCAGAGCUUCUACCAACCCCCUAUUGGGAUCUAGUGUCCUCAGUGUAGUGAUAUCAUCAAAUGCACUUGUAGUUUUUCGAAUGGAUUGGUUUAAAUAAAAAUUUUAUUAUUCGGGUUUUUUACACAAAUAAUACAAAAAAAUUAAAAAAAUACCAAAAUAAUAUAAGCAUUUUAUUAUGUAUCAAAAUGAUACAAACAGUAGUGGAGGGACUGCCACAGGCGACACCAAUGGUGCCAGUGGCAGAGGUUGCACCAAAGGUACCACUGCCACAGCCAGCACCUGUAACACCCCUAAUCCCUUAUCAAUACUAAUUUUAUUUUUCCAAUCUAACUCCAUAUUCUCUCUUAAUUCUUACUAUAAACUUAUUUUAACUCUUCAUUUUCACCAUAAAUCCCUAAUUUCAAAAUUCUCUCAAUUUAAUCCCUACUAUUCUAAACUUAUGUUUUAUUUUACAAAUCAACCCUUUACUAACUUCUAACUUAAAAUUCAAUCAAUUUAAUCCCUAAUUUAUCAAUUAAUCCAACAUGAAUAACAUAUAAAAAUUUACUAACUUUCAAAAUUUCAACUUAAAUCAAGUAAUAUUUUGUUCUAGGAUUCUAAAAAUAUCAAAAUUACAAGAAAAUGGGCUAAAUUAACUUAUCAAUUGAGCUUGGAACUUCAAAACCCCAAUUCUCCUUUUUUUUUCUUUUCUUUCUCCUUUCUCCUUCUCUGUUUAGUUUUUCAAUUCUGUUUCUUUCUCUUUUAUUUCUUGUUUUAUUAUAUAACAAUAUACUUAUUAUUUAAGUAAACAUAAUAUAUAAUAUAUAUUUUAAAUUAAAAAUAUCUUAGAUAUUUCUUUUGUUAUGCCGCCUCAAUUUAGGCUGAUAGCAUAAUUGCCUAUUUAGUCCUUUUAACUUUCUUUAAUCUAUAAUUAAACUUUUAUCUCUAUUGCAAUUUAAUCCUUUUUCAUAAUUAACCUCAAUUUAGACAAAUUCACUUAAUUAAAACCUAAUUAACUACACAACUAACUUCGUAAAUAUUUAUGAUAAAUAUUUAUGAGUCCAAUUUACCGAAAUGGAGUCUCGGGAAUAUUUUUUUUCAAUUUUAUCCUUUUUAAUCAAUUAACCAUCGAAACGUUAAAAUUUCUUAACGGAACUUUAAUACUACCUUAAUGACACUCCGUAAAUAUUUAUAAAAAUAUUUACGACUCAAUUUNNNNNNNNNNNNNNNNNNNNNNNNNNNNNNNNNNNNNNNNNNNNNNNNNNNNNNNNNNNNNNNNNNNNNNNNNNNNNNNNNNNNNNNNNNNNNNNNNNNNNNNNNNNNNNNNNNNNNNNNNNNNNNNNNNNNNNNNNNNNNNNNNNNNNNNNNNNNNNNNNNNNNNNNNNNNNNNNNNNNNNNNNNNNNNNNNNNNNNNNNNNNNNNNNNNNNNNNNNNNNNNNNNNNNNNNNNNNNNNNNNNNNNNNNNNNNNNNNNNNNNNNNNNNNNNNNNNNNNNNNNNNNNNNNNNNNNNNNNNNNNNNNNNNNNNNNNNNNNNNNNNNNNNNNNNNNNNNNNNNNNNNNNNNNNNNNNNNNNNNNNNNNNNNNNNNNNNNNNNNNNNNNNNNNNNNNNNNNNNNNNNNNNNNNNNNNNNNNNNNNNNNNNNNNNNNNNNNNNNNNNNNNNNNNNNNNNNNNNNNNNNNNNNNNNNNNNNNNNNNNNNNNNNNNNNNNNNNNNNNNNNNNNNNNNNNNNNNNNNNNNNNNNNNNNNNNNNNNNNNNNNNNNNNNNNNNNNNNNNNNNNNNNNNNNNNNNNNNNNNNNNNNNNNNNNNNNNNNNNNNNNNNNNNNNNNNNNNNNNNNNNNNNNNNNNNNNNNNNNNNNNNAUUAUUUUCGUAUUUUAUUAUUUUAUAUUAUUUUAGUACAUAAUAUUUGAAAUGUAUUAUUUUAGUGUGUUUUUUUAUAUAAAUUUAGUGAAAAACCCUUAUUUUGGCCAUUUGUUCGUAUUUUUCUUUUUUUCUUGGAUUUUAUUACUUUCAGUAAAUAUACUAUUUUCAUUUUUUAUUUCUUUUCGUAUUUUAUUUUUUUCAUAAACAUAUUUUUCGGUAUUUUAUUUUUAAUACUAUUUUUAUAAAAAAUCAGAAAAUAAUAAAAAUACGAACAAAUGGGGGGUGCCGCCUGUGGCAGUGGCACCUUUGGUGCCGCCUUUGCCACUGGCACCAUUGGUACCGCCUGUGGCGGUCCCUCCACUACUGUUUGUACCAUUUUGGUUCAUAAUUAAAUGCUUGUAUUAUUUUGGUAUUUUUUUAAUUUUUUUGUAUUAUUUGUGUAAAAAACCCUCAUUAUUCACAUCAAUAUCUUUUAGUUCAAAUUCUUCUAUUAGACCUUAUAUUUUUUGUAAAUUGUGGAUUUAGUACCUAUACUUUAAUUUGAUCAAUUUUAGUCCUUGGACUUUUCAAAUUUUGAAAUUUUAGUUCUAACCCAAUGGUAACAAUUAAAUAUGUUUGGUUAAAUUAUGUCGUUAUUCAUGUAAUAUGCAUAAAGUUAUAGAUGUAGUCUCGCUCGCUAAUUAAAUGAUUCUUAGUGGCUUUUUUUUUAAUUUCAAAAUUUAAUUCUUAAUGCAAACGAAAGUCGUUAAAUCUAUUAACUGAUUUUUUGUGAGUAAUAUGGGAAAAUAACAAACAUACAUAACAUUACACAUGUGAUAAUAUGUUUGACACAUCAAAUUUUAAAAAUAACAUAACUUAAUGAAUGUAAUAGUUAUCAACUGGUUAGGACUAAAAUUUUCAAAUUCUAAAAGUACAGGGACUAAAAAUGACCAAAUUAAAGUACAAGUACUAAAUUCACAACUUAUGCAAAGUAUAGGGUUUAAUAGAAAAUUUUGAUCUAUCUUGUAUACAAUGUCCUCAACGGUUUUUUGCACACAAAGCAAAAUGUAAGCAAAUAUUAGUUCAUUGUUUAUCUAACGUUUAACUAAUUUUAAAUUGCAUUGUGUGGUUGAAUCAUAAUGCAGAAAAGAAAUAUUAUAUUAGUAGAUAAUCUAAAUGGUUCAUAGCCUAGUAGAAAUUGAGCAAGUUGAUUAAAAUACUAUUAUGUCAUCUAUCAUGUCCAAUUAGGGACAUACUUUAUCUUAAGUAUCAAAGUGGAUGACUCUCAGAAGAUAUAGAUAUAGAUAUGAUUAUCUAGAUUAAUAGUACAUCGAACAUGACCUAAGUAGAAUAAAUGCUAAAUCUGUUAAUGGACUUAUUCACUUGUGACAUUCAUAGUGUGGCUUACCACAAUCUUUAGUUAUAAGUAACAGGCCAUGCGUGUGUGACUCGUAGACUUUGAUGUAUUAAAAGCUUGAGUUUAAUUGGUAAUAGAGACGAAAUCUGGCAUGUUGGGUAUACGACUUCUACAUAACAUAACUUCACUUAAAAUAGUGGAAUUUAUAGCCCAAUAAAAGGUAAAUGAUAUACUAUUAUAUACAUUACAUGAUAGAUAGAAAAGUAAUGUGACCACUGCUUAUUUCCCUAAGACAAAUGAUUUGGUUACUAUUUGUUAGUAAUUGGCUUUUUCAUGAAAAAAUAUGUAAUGGUUACCAUGAGAUAAGAUAAGAUCAUGUUAGGUGAACGGAUUUAACCCAAAGAGAUUAAAAAUAUCCUAUGAUGGUAACACACAUAGGACAAAGUCAUUAGGCAAGCACAUGAUAAGUUACUUUUGUUAUGGUAUAUAAUAAGGGAGAACUCAAUCAUGGUACUUUAGUGGAAUGAUUCAAUGACUAAAAAUGUCGCAAUUAAUAGACGAAGAGUCGAAAGUUAAUUACAAAUUAUAUGAGCCUUAAUUAUAUAUGUCUAAUCAGUCCCUCUGCUAACUUGGUGCUACUCUGAAUGGUUUGCAAUUGAACUAACAUGAUGAAUAAAAACAAGAAAUUAAAGAAAUAGACCGCAUAUAUCACUAUCCGAGUAAAAGUUUAUUGAUUUCUUUGAAUUAUUAUUUAAUUUAUUGUAAUUUAAGUAUUUGAAAUUCAAAGUGGAAAUUGAAUUAGUUAGUCAUUAAGGUUUUAGUGAAUGACUUGUCAUCAAAUGUAGUAGUUAAUUCAGGUCAUUUCCACACUUAAGGAGCUUGUUUUCUAGUCAAUUUAGUAUUUUAUAUUACAUUUUCGGUAUUUAGGACUUAGGAUUAAAUGUUAGUAAAAUAAAUGUUUUUUAACACAUUUUGUGAGUGUUGUGACCAAAUAGGCCGACACGGGCCUUAGGUAGUACUAAUAUGUUCAAUUGAGUUGUAGGAUGAAGAUUUAAAGACCCAAUUGAUGUGGAAGCCAGGGAAGAGUGAUGCACAAGCUUCCCAAGACUUCAAAGCAUGAAACGAAUGACAAAAUGUGUACUUUACAUGUCUUGUCGCGCUAGGCAAAGGCUAUGGCACGACACAGGUCGACUUGCCACCCAAGAUUGUUGAGGCUAUUUUUGUCAACACAAUCAACCUUAUAUGAAGACCUAGGACGUGUCGAAGACCUAAUAUGGGUUGCCAACACUUUUAUAAAUAAGACAUUAGGGGUUUGAAGUAACUAAGUCACUAUAGAUGCAGUAAAAAAUUAUAUGAGGUAGUUUAAAAAUCAUAUAACACAUACAAUUAAUAUCCAAUACAAGGGACAAGCCCAAAGGCUCAUCUGAUUGCAAAUGAGCAACAACCCUAGUCCUAGAGACUAGGUAUAGUGGCGUGUCACUGCCCCUAAGUAUUCCCAAAAGGGAAUAUCUGUCUUUUUGUAUUAAAAUAAUAUUAUUUAUUUAACACUUGUUCAACUGAGACUUUUGUUUUUCUCUAUAUAUAGAGACCAUUGGCUAGGUCAAACAUGCACCACUUAAGCAUCGAUAGCACCACUUAAGCAUCGAUACUUUGUCAAAAUCUAGUAUGAUUUAUUUUCCUAAAAUAAAGUCUAUAUUUUGAGAGAUUUCAUCUUUUCAGUUUCUAGCCUUUGAGACCUCUAAAUAUUAAUGAAAUUUUCAUUCUUUGCAAUUGGUUUGUGAAAUUAAAGCCCAUACUUUAAAUGGAUCGGAGUUUGAGAUUAGUGGAGAAGAUCGUUUUGGUUAAAAGUUAAGAAACAAAUAGAUUGCCUAACUCAAAGCAUAGAUGCUAAUUUGGUUAUGGUUUAUUACUACAAAUAUCACAACUUCUUGGCUUUAGAAAGUUUCAAUUUUUCAUUGUGCAACAAAAUCAUUUCUAAACCGAAAUUUCCCAACAAUUGGUAUUAAAGCCAGAUUGUGCUAUGUUUAUAGCAUAAAUCGAAUACUGAAUUUCUCUCUCUAUUGCUCUUAUUGUUUGAUUAAAAUUGACAAGAAGUGACAUUCUUAAUUAUUUUCAUGUUUUAGAUUAUAUAUGUAGAUAAACGUAUAGAUAUUAUUUUAUAUUAUGUUAUAGAGUAAUUUUGCCAAAAGGUGUGGUUCCUAACAUUAGAUAGGUUGUAUUUAGGUUUUUUAAUUUUUGGGUUUGUAAUUAGAUCUUGGACUAUCAUAUCCACACAGUUUUUUAAUUUUUAUUUGUGUAUAGUUAGAAAAUUCAUAUGAGUCAAAAACAGACUAGGAUGCUUAUAACCUUAAUUUUUCAGCAGAGCCAAGAAAAGCACAAUGGAUCAAUAACCCAAAUGAAAUCAAAUGGUGAUAUCAUCAAAUUGAACGCAUGGAAGGUUGCGCAAACGAAACGCAUAGGAGGCCGAGGCAUCACGCCCCAACCGGACAUGCAACAUACAAAAGCUGUUGGGGCAUCACACCCCAACAAGUGCGCAAGUUGCCAAGCAUGUAGGGGCAUCACUCCCUUUGUGAGCAUUCGACACACAGGCUAGAAUGAUUAUCAUCCAUACUGAUCAAGGCACCGUGCAGAUAAGGUUGAGGCAUCGCACCUCAACUACGCAGUAGCAACGGGUAAGGCUAGAUGAUCGGUCACGUGAGCAACAAGCUAGAAAAAUUGGGGCUUCGAACCCCAACCAACUAAACAAGUCAAACGGUAUAUGGAGGCCUCGUGCCCUACAGUGUGUAAGAGGCCACAACACCAUCGAUCAAAGAUCACCACGACUAGGACUGGCAGCAGGACAUCGGGGAUGGCGCACAAACGUUGAUGGGAGCCAGGCAAAGGGACUGGCAGUUGAUCGGUUGAACCCACGACUACGGCUAAUGGUAACAAUGGUUGGCGACAUUAGGCAGUUUGGUUCUUGUUUUGUGUUUUUAGAUUCGAGACUACUUUUGACAAACAGUUUUUUUAGGGAAAAGUCAAGGAUGUUUGGCUUAUACCUAAAACACCCAAAUGAUGUUUUGAAAAAAUUAUUGUAAUUUUCAAUUAUUUUAUGUUUCCCUACAAAUGGAAAUUUUUUGUUGGUCGGAAUCAAUUUAAUUCUUUAAUUUUGAUUAUGAUAUGUUGAUAUUAUAUGAGAUUGAAUGUGGUUAAAUUGAAAAGUAUGUUCAUGCAUAUAUGAUAUAAGCUUGCCAUAUAGUUUAGGGAAAAAAUGGCACUUGUACUUAUCUGCAUUUUUAAUUAUUCGUGCUUGAAAAUCAGACAUAAAACCUUGCAUGUUAUUAAAAUAUUGAGUGGGAGAAGGUCUUUAAACAAGACAUAAAACCUGCAUCGAUGGUUUCUAUGUGAUACUAUAAUAAUACUUUAAGUCAGUUUUACUCUGACCUCACCCUACAAUAAGUAUUUUUGGGAAAAAUCUAGUUUACAAAAAAAAAAAAGAAAAAGUUGUUAACUUAGUAUUAGGUACACUGCUAAUGGAAAGAAAAAAUUUCACAAGCAGGGUUGAGAUAAGUGAUAACUCUAAAAUAUUGGAGUUAUUUGUUUUUUUUAUAGUAGGAUUUUAGUUUGUUUUAUAAGUUAUUUUUAGUAGAAUUUAGGAAUUUUCUUUUCUUUAUAUUUAAUUUUUUGUAAGUCACUUAUAUAUUAUUAGUGUUAGUUCAGACUUAUUUUCGAGCAUUUCUUACCUAUUGUAGGUUUGAAAAAGCAUGGAGAAAUGAUAGAUUGAUAUAUGCAAAUAAGGCAGUUUUUUACUCCAACGAAAGAUUUGUCCGUUGGAGUGACACAGUUACCUGAUAAAUUAUAAAUUUUAAGGGUUGCAAAUUUCUAUGGAAUAUAAAAGAAAAAAAAACCUAAGUUCAAGGAAAGUGUGGAGAAAAAGAGGAGAAGCUACCAAAGCCUUCAAGCAUCAAAGAUUGACGGAAAUAAUUGAGAAGACACAAUUUCUCCAUCUAUUUUCUUUAUUGUUUAUGUUUCUAUGAUUAGUUCUUGUUUUUUUUUCAAUUUUUCCAUGAACUAAAAUUUCUUUUCUAGAAUUGCAAUGAAUUUCAUGUUUAGUUAAUUGAAUAAUUCUCUAUUUCCAUCUGUUUUUGUUCUUGAUAGAGUUUUGAUUAUUUAUUCAUUCUUGCUCUAUAUUGAUAAUAGUCUGGUCAACUAUUAAUCCAACAAAACCUAAAGAAAUUGGAAAAUGGCUUUUUGUUUUAGGUCUAGAAUGAAUAACUCUUGAUCGAAAUUAAAUGGGUCAAAUCUUGAUUCGUAACUAGAAUAGGAAUAUACCUAAAUUACACUGGGUAGCUAUAAUUAGGGUUUGUUCUUAAUCAAAUGGUUUUAAAUUAUUGGUAAAUGAAUAUAACUCAAUAAUUAGGUUAAGUUAAUUAUUUAAUUGCUUGGGAGAGAAUUGAGAGAAAUUUUGUACCCAAGUUAGUAAUUAACUUUAUAGGGAUAAAUUGGGUGUAGAUGGAACAAUUAACUAUGCAUUAGAUGAAAUUGUAAUCCUGAGCUUUUAUUAUUGAUUGAUUAUUCUCAUUUUUAUUUAUUUGAUUUAUAUUGAAAAUUUAUGUUAUCGAUUUAUUUAGAUAAGUUAUAAAGUAAUAGUUGGUGAUCAACAACAUAAUUAGUAAUAACUCUUUGUGGGAAUAAUAUUUUUUAUACUACUUGUCACAAUACGUAUACUUGCGUGUGGAAUAUUCGAUCAACAAUAUGUAUGUGUUUAUUUAUUUUUUUAAUAUUUUUAAUAUAAUUCAAUGGGCAUUUGCCAUUAUCAAACCCUUUCGAAAUUUUUUCUUUUCAAGAUAUAAUAAUUGAUUCAUCGAUUGUGUUUUAAAAUUUGAAAGUGAUGGAGAACGAAAAGUUUUUUUAUUUUCUUGUCAAUAAUUUAUUUUAUCAAUUUAAAUAUAAAAAUUAAAUACAAAACAGUUCAUCAAUAUUUCAUUAAAUAAAAUUAGAUAAUUAAGAAAUUUUAUUUUAAUAAGAGCUUUAAUUUUAGUGGUAAUAAAAAAUUAUUAAAGGCAUAGAUGUGAUUUGUUUUUGAUAUGAUUAUAGGUUAUAAAUAUCCAUUUCCAAUCAAACGUUUUAACUAACAACUAAUUAUCACUUUCAUUUUACUUUUGGAGGAAAAUAUUGGAUAGAACGUAAAUUUAAAGUAACAGUGGGAGUUUGGGUUGAUGUCGAUGUGAUAAAAUGAUAAUUAAAAUUAAAAAAGAACAGAUAUUCUGCUUAUAAUAUUUUUUUAUCUCAUUAUUUUAAUAAAUGUUUAAAAGGGUUAUAGACAUUUAUAACAGCUAGAUAUUUAUAUGAUUUCCUUUGAGAAAAAGGUUAGAUAUGGCAUCAAUCCAUUCUGCACAUCAAAGCUGAAGCAUGGGAUACAUGUCCAGAUUAAGAUUUGUGAGGUUUGGUUAUAAAAUAAAAAUACCAACACACACAAUGCAUUGGAAAUCAUUGUUGGACUGUAGCUGGCUGCUCAGAAAAAUAAAAAAAGAGAGAGGAAGAAUUGGGGUUUGGUUUGUACAUGUAAUCCACAAUCAGUAGACUUCCACAUUCCAUUGCUCAGAUUUCUUCAACUGCCUUUUGUAUUCAAUCCAAUCAAUACCUGAAAAAAAUGUCCGAAGACAGAUUUAGAUUGGAGGUGUAUGUAUGUAUAUAUAAUUCAUGGAGAUUUAUUAAUUAGUGAUCUGGUAAAAGCAUUGGGUUCUGCUUUUUUCCUUUUUUUUUUUUUGGUUACCAUCUGCUGCAGCAAGUGAGACCAUUAUGUCAUCAAUUCCCUUCUCCAUUCCUUUCAACCCACACAUGUAAACAAAGGUGUUAUCUUUCUUCAGUAAUUCCCAUAGCUCUUUUGCAUAUUCAGCCAUUCGGGUCUGAAUGUACAUCUUUUCUCCGUUCUCAUUUGUUUGUUCUCCGCUCACAGCAAAGUCCAGCCUGAAGUUGUCUGGAUACGUCUCCUUCAUUUUCUCAAAUUCCUGUUAUAUAUCAUUUCACUUUUCGUUCAAAGAGGCAAAACCACCAGAUUCCCAGUAUCAGAUGUUUUUCUUUUCCUAGCUUGCAUGCUUACCUCCUUCUACAACAAUGAGCUACUUGUAGGAACACCGAGGAACAGCAAUGCCAAACCAUUGAACUACAAGUUUUUUCAAGUCACUCAUUAGUACAAUAAUCGUAUAUGUUAGCCUUGGUGAGUUAAGUUAAGGCCACAGGUUAUAACAGGCUUCACUGCUUAGCUUAAAAUGGAUGCAUGGAUAUAAAGGUCAUAAUUGUUUCUUUUGUACCUUGUAAUCCUCAUGCCUUUCAAAGAACAUUUUCCAUAAAAAUGAUCGAAAGGGAGCGAUACCAGUUCCUGUAGCAAGCUGCGGUUAAAGUAACUCAGUGUGAAAAUGUUGCUUUGGAGCAGCAGUUUAUCAAUAUAAUGGAAUAUACAAUGAAUGCAUGAUAACAGCUUGGUAAAAUACAAACCAUGAUGAUUGUGGCAUCAGGAUCUUUUGGCUUAAGCAUUUCCUUUCCAAUAGGUCCUGUGAUUUUAACUUCUGCCCCAGGUUUCAUGUCACCUGAAGAUACGAAUAAAACAUAAUUUUAGGUACAAGAGUGACCAAUGCCCGGAGAUAGAGAAGGAGUUGCAGAUAUUAAGAUUCCAACUCCAAAUCUAUUGGAUGCCAUCUUUUAAGAAUGGCCGCAUAAACUAACUUACCAAAGCUCCGGGUUCAUCAUCUUUUGACACCGGUUGUUCUAAACAAUAGUAAUACAUUAUGAUGAAACAUAGAAGUCCUGCAUUCUUACAUAAGAAAUUUGAGCAGACUCCUUUAACAAGUUCUCCUUUCUCGUUGGUGUAUACAAGACGUUUCACACAUAGGGAUACCUGCAAUAAUACAAUGAGACCAGUAAGAAAACCAAAAAUGAAUAAGAAAAUGAAAAAACAAACAGAAACCAGAAGAGCUGAAUGAUAUUUGUUAUGUAGACUUGGGUGGCUCAGAGCCUAUCAGCACUUGAUUUGUAUCUUAAUCUGGAAAGGAAAUUAACUUCUGAAGGAAAACUCACAGUUUUGGAGUCCCCAAAGUCACCAAGAGCACUGCUAGCAAUAGAGUAUAAUCUCAGUUUAUGAGGUUUCCCAUUCUUGUCAACGCCAUCCGGAAUCACUCCAAUGGAUUGUCCUUCUCUGUAAGGAACCUCUCCUGAUCCAAUCCAACUAGCUAGUAACUAAGAAGAAAGAGUCUUUUUUUUUUCCCCUUUAUCUAAUUAAUCAUCUCAAGAACGGCAACUUUUCAUUCCUUGAUCAACGAAAACUCGCAUUGGGCACAUAAAACUCUGUAUCUGCAUUUUUUUAUUUUCACAUAGACAUGCAAGUAUCUUGAAGAAUAUAAUUUGAGACGAAUUGCAUACCCUCAGUGCUGAAGACCAUGUGCCAUGUCUCUCCAGGAGCAUCAUCACCGGUGAUCUUAGUAUUUAGAAGGCACCUGCCAAUGUAAGGUUCCUUUGGCUUGAACUUGUUAACCACAACACCUUCAUCAUUUUUCUUGGAUUCCUUUACAACUUUAGCAGGAGCUUCAGUUGUAACCUGGGCUCGCACUGAAACCACUCUCCCUCCACUUGAAACAUCUGGGUAGUAAAAAGAAACCUGAAAAACAACAACCAAAAAAAGCAGGUGACCUACUCCCAACAUGUAUGAAGUUUUUACAUAUAUUAAUUACAAAAGAAAAGAAAGAAGUUUACCUUCUUGAAUGUGAUUCUUUCAGGAGAGAUGAUAGAGGUUCGAGUAGUAAAAGAGGUGGAGUUGGUAGAAGGAAAGGAGACUGCAGCAGUUACGGCAGCCAUGGGUUUUGGAGAAUGAAGAGGUGAGAAAAAUGUAAUUUGAUGGAUAGUUUGGUGAAGAAGGAAUGAGAUGAGGUGAGGAAAUCUCAGAAGGAUAUGGUUUUGUAUUGGGUUUGGAUCAUGAAUUGGGUGGAGGAGAUUUGAAGGCCAAUGCAGUGGCCUCUAUAAGGGUAAGUCCAUGUGUACCACCUUAUAUGCAUAAUCACCAUUGAAUUUUUUUUAGAGCAACUCUUGAUUCCAAAUCCAAGGAUAGGGGAUGGCAAUAAGUAAGUUUUGUAAUUAAAUUGGUUUAGUUAUUAAAAUUCAUAACUAAACCGAUUGACUAACUUACAUAUAUUAUUUUUAAUUAUUUAUAAUAUAAUAUAAGUUGAUUAAUCGAUUUUAUCGUCUGAUACUAAAUUAUUUGGAUCAAGACAGUAAAAAUCAAUCGAGGAUGAUUGGUAUAAUUAAACAAAAAAAAUCCAUCCAAAAGCAAAAUGAAAUGGAAGAAGGAACUGGGGACCCAAAGAUGGCGUUGGGUUAACUCAUCUCAGUCCACCAAGGCAAUCCAUGGACAAAUCGCCAUCCCAGAGUACAAGUUGGACGUCGUUUUCAGUAAUGCAAGGAACGACAUUGAAUAUCACAAGCUGGAUCCAUAUAAAAACAACUUUUAAUGAAUAUAUAAAUAUAUAACUUUCCUGGUUGCAUAGUAUCAUCGAAUCUGUCUCUAUUAAAUUUAUUUUUCGUGUACUUUUACUAAAAGCAAAAAAUAGAAAAGCAGAAAUAACAAGCAUACUUAUCCCUAAACCAGGGCCUACAUGACCUGUUUUAGGCUUCAAGCUUGAUGGGUAGAAAUCUGCUUAAUUUUUUAUUAAUUUCAGCUAAUAAAAAACGUGGGGUUUCUUAUUAUUCUUACCACAUUUCGCUGUAAUACGAGGCAUAAACCCAGUCUUCUCCUGUGGGUGGAUUUUGACAAGUCUAUUGUUUUUUCUCUACUUGAAAUUGUUAAUUACAUUUUGGAACAGGGCAGUUUUGACCAAGAAAAGUUCAUGAUAAGCUGCUGAUAAACAACUGGGUAAGAGGUAUAAAUGCAUGCAGUCAGAUUCUGCCUCUGCAUUAAAAAUACAUGGCAGAAUCUGAGUCACCUUCCAUGUGAGUGGCAGCCUAGAUAGGUCAUUUCUCGUUUCGUGACGAAAUCAGAUGACAUAAUCCAGAAAAAGUAGUGGUAAGUUAAAAGAGCUGGUUCUGACAGAGCCCAAGCCCCGCAUAUCAGAGGUCGAAUCAUUCUUUUACGGUGGUUAGAAGAUAGACACCCCCAUUAAAAUUUCAGACCAAAAAAUUGAAAUGAAUGACCUGCUACAUAUCACGGAACUUCUUUCUACCCUUACAACAGCCAUGCAACUCAAGGCAAUACAAUUCUGCAUAUGACUGAAAAAUACUUCAUGGAAGAACAGUUCUAGCUGUAUGUACAGUUGUCCCAAACAAUAAAUCACAAUGGAAAAGCGAUUGAAUCAAUGGAAUCCCCUUGAACCUCUAGACUGAUAGAGCUCCAAUCUACUUUUGGCUUCAUGUAGAAGUGUGUCCACUGUUUCAUCCUGGGUCAUGUUGGAUUGCUUGGAUGCCCAUUCCAGCACUGUCAGCACUUCAGCUUGGGCGAGUUCUUCGCUAUCCGGUACAUGGAGGGCAAUGUAACAUAGGAGAAGUAAUGCUGAGUGCUGCACAAUUUGUUCCCCAAAAUACACUAGUUGAAUCAAAUGCUUUGCACCUCCCGCACUAAUGAUUGCCUUGGAGUGAUCAAGGUGUAGAUAGUUGUUGGUGCAAGCGAAUUUGGUAAGAGCAGUGGCAGACUCCUUGGAAACUUCAGCUUCCCUCUCAUCCAGAAGUUUAACCAAUGGGGAAAUCAUCCUUGUUUCCGUUGCUCUAAACGUCCUUGCCAAAUUACCAAUAGCCUUUAUGCAAGGUAUCAGCAACUCCGAAUCAGCCUUCUCUAUUAUCAGGAAAAGCUGAUCCACAACAAGCUUACAAGCAUGAGAAUUUGGCUUAAAUGCAGACCUUCUCAAAUCAGUAUCCUGCUCUGCCACUGCCGCAAUCUCCAUCAAUGCCAUAGCCGAAUUCAACUGCACUUCAUCGGUUCCUUUUUCCAACAAAACUGCAAAGCAUAACAGCGCUCUGGAUUCUGUAAUGCUCCGACAGACACUUGAAUUCCCCUUAGCAAGAUAGCAUAAAGCUCUAGCUGCCAUCGCCUUCAUAUAAGCCUUGGUAGCGGUGUCCUCCAAUUCCCUUCCCUUAAUAUUCGCCCCGGAAAUCGAACCAUUCAGCUGCUGCUGAUGAUGAUAAACUUGAUGGAUUAGCUUGGCAUUGCCCUGACUAUUGCUCCUAACAUGAUUACUACUCGGCUUUUGUGGCAAUUUCGUCGCACCUUUCAUUGCCAUGGUAUUCGUAACCACAUUAUGCAUCUGAUUAGGGGUUUGGUUCCCCAAUGGAUGCGGAAUCGGAUUCUGGUGAUCUUCGUCAAUGACGUUUUUCACGUUAUUCACAUUCGAAUUAUUACUGCUCGCCAUAACCACCGCGUGGAUGGACGUCGCCUUGUUACUGGCAAUUGCAUAUUUGCUGUGUUCUUGGAUGGUUUCGAACGCCAAAUGACUGACGAGCAAUCGGAUUAUGUUAUGCUGAGCAAACAAAUCUUGGCAUUUUGGGUAAUUAGCAGCCAGCUCAGACACCGCCCACGCCGUCACAGCUUGAACUUUCAUUGGACCUUCUUUGAGGAUUUUCGCAAACACCGUGCAAACGCCAGCGUGGAUCAUAUGCUCCACGCUUUCCAGGUCCCGACCCAGAAGGCCAAUUGCUUUGGCGGCGUUUUCUUGACCUUCCAUUUUCCCUUCUUUGACUAAUUUCAAUAAUGGCCUAACACCUCCCUCUUCUAUAAUCAGUUUCCCGUACCGAUCAUUGUCUCUGGCUAGGGAAACAAGCGAAGUAGCCGCGUCGGACCGGUCGUCGAGUGAACCGGUGUAAAGAAUCGCGAUUUGUUCCCAUAUUAGGCAUAAAAUCGGCUCGUUUGCAGCGAUUGGAGGAAGGCCUAAGUACUCAUCGUCGCGAUCAUCAGCCGAAGCCGAAACACGGAGAAGCCAGGAAACAUUGCCGAUAGAGUUCUCCAGCUGAGAAGACAUUUUGCGGAACGCGGCAGCAGGGAUGAUUAUAAACACGCGCUUCAUAAAGCCGUUGCCUCGGCAUUUGAGGACCAACGAAAGAGCUUUAUCGAGGACUUGUUCUGUAUCAUCGAUUAUACGGCGCGUAGGGCGUUCGUAGAGGUCGGAACUGGCACGCGCUGCUUGUCGGAGUAAGCCGGCAAGUUUCUCCGUCUUUGACUUAAGCUCCGCACACUCUUGCUUGAACGAACUUGCUUCAUCCGCCGCUUUCGUUACUUGGUCUGCUAACUGAAUUGGCUUUGCCAAGAUUUGCUUCACCAUAUCCGCCAUCAGAACAGAAAAAAAAAGUGAAGAGAAACGACUUUAUAUUUAUUGCGAUUCUAACCUUUUGGGGUUAGAAGUUUCUGGUUAAAGGCUUGAUAAACGGGGGAAAUGGAGGGUGAAAAUGGGAGUUAAUUGCUGCUUUUAGGUUCUAUGGGGAUUUUGGACUUCAGGGGUGCAUUGGUUUGCCUUGGUUUCAGGGUGUGGACGCAUGAGGAAAGUGAAAGAAGAAAAGGUUGAAUGGGGGUUCAUGGCAGACGAGUUUUACAAUGUCAAACGCGCAUUCAUCUUCUUGUUUAUUUAACAAUUUUGGGUGGACAUAGCUUCUACGAUUGUUGCUGUUGUGUUGCGCUGUAUUUUUGUUGUUUAUAUAUUCUUUCAGAAAAAAUGAAUUUUUGUAUAAUGAAGGAGGUGAACGGUGUUGAAUUGCAUUGUUGCUGUCAUUUUUUAUCAAUAUACAAAAAGUACAUACUUUUGAGUCAAUGGCUAUGGAGGUGACAGGCAUAAUCCCAAAGACAUGCAAAACAAAGAAGGAUUUUUAAAUAGGCAGCAGCAGAAACAGGACAAUACAAAACAAGGUAAAAGAAUUUCCAGCUGCCAUUGGAACCUUUUGCCAUUCAUUUUGAUAACUUCAUCUUCUUUUCUUGACUUUUCUUUAUACAAUUUAUAUAGUGUUUUACACUUUAUUACAGCGUUAGUAUUUGUUUGCUUUCAGUUCUUACUAGACUUAACGGCUAAAUUAGGCAUAAAUGAUUUUAAAAAUUAAUUGAAUAAUUAGGUCGAUUUUUACCAUAUUUAUAGCACUAGGCCGUUUUUUAAGAGAGAAGGGAAAAUGUGUUCAGCUUUUUCCCCAACGGUCGAAUUGUCAACGGCCAUAAAAAAAUGGGUAUCGCUAAAAAAACACCCUCAACAUAUUAAAAAAAACACCCUAAUUCUCCUUUUCAGUGUAAUUGAUUACAACAUUUCUCAUUUUAUUGGAUGAGUGUCUUUUCCAAUGAAUCUUUUUAUUAAUACAAUAAUUAUAAUCAAGAUCUUAAAUUAAUGUGGUCCAAAAAAUUAAUUAGUACAUUUUUCAAAUAUCUUCAUUUUCAUCAUCUUAAAUUAAUUAGUGUAAUCAAUUUAGUCCAAAAAAUUAGAGUCAACAUCUUAAAAAACGGGAAAAAUUAAUUUUGUUGUAAUUAAUACAAUAAAUAAGCAGAGUUAUAUAUAUAUGUUUAUUUUCAUGAACAUUAACAACACCCUAACGUAAACUCAUAUUAUUAUUAACAAAAUUAAGUAUGUCCUUCUCACUACACUCUAUUAUUUGUAAUUUUAUUUUUUAUAAAUUUGUUCUAAACUGUUUUUUAUAAAAAUCUGUUUUUUAAAUUUUUCUUUUUUUAUUUAUUAAUUCUUGUAUAAAUUAAAAUCUGUUUUAAAUUUUUAUAACUACUGAUUUCUUCGUCAUAAUUUGUAGUGUUCAACAAAAGAUGUCGAAUUUUUACUGAAGUAACUUAAAUGAAGACAAUGAGAUCUCUAUGGCGACAUCACCAUUUUUUACCGAUCGGGUAUAAUAUUUAUCAUGAUGUUAAUAUUUUUUUAUCUUCAUAACAUUUAAUAUUUGUUAACAAAAUCAUUUAAAUUUUAGGUGUUCGAGUCUUGUGAAGAGCUGAUGCAAUGGGUGCAAAACACGGCAUUCUCUCUUGGUUAUAUCAUCGUCACAAGAAGAUCAAAAGCAAAGGAAAAUGGUGUGGUGUCUUACGUCACACUUAUUUGUGACCGUGGCAGUGAAUACAAAUUUAAAGAAUCAAGUAAAAAGUCUGGCACCAAAAAGACUAACUGUAAAUUCCAAUUGGUAGGUUCGUAUUUAAAACAAUAUGAUGGGUGGAUGUUGAGGGCGAUAUGUGAUCAACAUAACCAUCCACCUGCACAACAUAUGCAGGGACAUGCUUAUGCAAGGUGGUUGAAAGAAAACAAAAAAAAAUUGUUGGUUGAUUUGACGAGUAAGAAUGUUACAUCACAUGACUAAUUAUCGACACUGAAGGAGUAGGACGAGAAUAACGUUUCUACACAAAAAACCAUAUACAAUGCACGACAAAAGCUUCACUCGUCCCAGAAUGUCGGUAAAACUCCGAUACAGGUUCUUAUGUUGCUUUUGAAUGAUAAACAAUUUUUUACUGAGUUUUCAGUAAAUAAUAUUUCAAAUGAAUUGGAAAAUCUAUUCUUCAUUCAUCCACGACCAUUGGAUAUAUGGCGUGCAUUUCCGCACGUUUUGAUUGUAGACGCAACGUACAAAACGAACAAAUAUGAUCUGCCUUUUCAAAUUGUCGGCGUGACUUCAACCAACAAGACAUUUAGUAUAGCUUUUGCCUUUAUCAUUAACGAAAAGGAGGAGAAGUAUAACUGGGCAUUAACAUGUCUAAAGUUGACACUAGAAGAGUGCAUCUACCCACGUGUUAUUGCGACGGACAGAAAGUUCGCUCUGAUGAAUGCAUGCCAACAAGUUUUUCCUGAUAUCACUCGGUUACUAUGUAGAUGGCACAUUACUGAAAAUAUUAAAAAGCAUUGUAGGUAGUGUAUCAAGUCGCAACAUGAGUGAGACUCCUUUCGUGCUAUGUGGACUGUACUCGUUGAAUCUCCAACGUGGAUAUUGUACACCAAAAACUACAGAAAACUCCAAUCAAUGUUGAGCGAAUAUCCAGGUAUAAACCUCGCUAUUCUAUAAAUAAUUGUUUAUAGUUUUAGAAGACUUUUUAUACAUAACUAACAUUUAUAUAAAUUCAGGUGUUUUAAAAUAUCUAGAUCAAGUGUGGUUAAGCAAAUAUAAGGAAAUAUUUGUGUCGGUCUAGAUUGAUCGGCAUCUCAACUUUGGAGAACGAACUAUGAAUAGAGUUGAGAGCCAUCAUGCAAAGCUAAAGAAAUACCUUAGUGCAAAAAAAUUUUCUCUAGAUAAAUUUUUUGGUUGUAUCGAUCAGAUUGUGAAGUCUCAACUUACAUCGAUAUAUGAAAGUUUUGAAAAGAGUAGAACUAUCCUCAAACACAAACACAACUUACCGUGUUUUAGAUUAUUGUGGGGUUUUGUGGCACUAGAAGCUCUAGAUAUCAUAGAAGGGGAACUUCAGUGGUUAUGUAGACAUUAACUUGACUCUUCAAACUGUGGUUGUAAACUACGUCAUAGUUGUGGGUUACCAUGCGCUUGCAUGCUAUCAGUCUACUUGAAUUUAGGUGGUACAUUUAACAAUUAUUUUCUAAAUUUUUAUUUAUAUAUUGAAUUUUUAUAAAAUAAUGACAUUUCAAUGCAUGUGAGUGUAUUCCGUUGGAUUUAAUAGAUGUAUUCUAGAGGAAGCUUGACUUAUCACCAUCAACUUCUGUGGAAAAUGAAGAUAUUUGUUGUGACGGUGAGUUAAAAUUGUUCAAAGAAAACUUCACUAAGCAAUCAAAAGCCGGGAAAAAAAUUCUAUUAAGAAAGUUAAGAGAUAUAUUCCAGCCGAGUAAAACACUCAUUAAAGAACUUACAAUUCAAAAAAAUACGCGUGAACGACCAACCUUGAAGAAAUAACAACAAAAACGAGUCGAUUCUAUAAGUCAAGCUUCCAGAAGACGUAGUCAUUCAACCACGUCAAAAUCAUCUGUUGGGUUGGAUCUGGUAGAGUUGAACAAAGAACCUGCAAGACAUAGUUCAUACGUAAUCAAAAUUCCAAACUUAAACUAGGAGCCAUCAGAGCAAGUUUCAGACUUCAUAGAUUUAAACCAGAUGUCUGAAUCAUGUAACACUCAUCCACUAAUGAAAGAAAUUCCAGAUAUGUUCCACCCUUACAUCACACAUGUACAAGAUGUUAGGGGUGAUGGAAAUUGCGGAUUCCGAGCAAUAUCUAUUUGUCUUGGUUAUGGCAAAGAUCAAUGGCUCUAUGUUCGACAUCAACUGCUAGACGAGUUAUUGAGUUCAUAUGAUAUCUAUGCUAGAGUUUUCACUGAUGGAAUCGAUGAAUUACGUAAUUCACUGUGUUUCUCAGAAUCGCCUGCACCAGCAGAACACUAGAUGGUUAUGCCUAUGACAGGUGUCCUGAUUGCCAAUAGGUUUUGGGUGAUCCUCAAUUAUUUAACCAAGCGAGGUGACAUAACUUUCUUUCCUCUUUGGAGAGGUCUGGAACAUUUUCAAUACCAUCAUGCUAUUACAAUUGCACAUGUAUAUGAUAAUCAUAAUGUGAUGGUACAAUUAAAAGGAGAUUACCCAAUGCCUACCAUUUUGGCUUAUUGGAUCCGCCAUAGAGCCCCGUCUACAGCUGGAUGACAAACCAUGUAUAUGUCACGUCUAGAAUUUUAUAGACAACUGAAACCUUGUAAUCUCAAAACAUCUAUUAUAACUAUAGAGGAUUAUUGUUGAAUAAUAUUAUUUUAUUAUAUUUUAGCAUUUUGCUCAUAUUUUUGUAUUUAUGUAUUCAUAUAUAUGUUUAACAAUAAUCCUAUAAUAAAAAAAUAUGUUGAAUAAUAAUACUUAUAUCUUUAAUAAUAAUACAAUAUUAAAAAUAUUUAAUAAUAUUUAAUAAUAAUACAAUAAUAAAAAUAUGUUUAACAAUUAAAUGAGAUAAAAAAGUGGGUGGAGAGGUGAUAAUUAAUUCUUAAUCAUUACAGUAGAAAGAUGUUAAUUACUAACCAAUCAAUAAAGUAAAAGAACAUUAAUUAAUAACUAAUUAUUAAUUAUAGUAAAGGUGUGUUGUUUAUUAGGGUGUUUUUUUAGUAUGUUGGGGGUGUUUUUUUAGCCAACUCCUAAAAAAAAUAGCUAGUUUUUGUUUCUAUAUAAACCCAAUUCUUUUCCUCAUUUUUUCAUUUAAAUUCAUUUCUAUCAAUUCUCUCAAUAGUUUAGUUCUAAAAUUUUAAUUAAAAUUCUCUCAAGUUCGUCUUCAUUUAAUUCUAUUUUUUUAUUUUUAUUCGUUUUAAUUCAAUUUUGGAAUGACAAAUACUCUUAUUUGUUUCGAUGACAACCACAUUUCUGCAAUUCAACUACAAAUUGUAAGAAAAUAUUUCUAAUAUUUAUAAUUAUAUUUAAGUUCAAUAUUAAGUUGUUAAAAAGGUUAGAAUGCUCACACGACCAUGUGAACCAAAUCAGUGAGUUACACAGUCUAUGACACAGCCAUGUGUCAUUAAUUCGAAUGCUCACACGGUCUGAGUUGUGUCACAUGGCCUGGUCACACAGCCGUGUGACCCCUGUCUUUUCCAAAUUUUCAAGUUUUUCCUAAAAUUUAUGUUGUGAUUCAUUUUGAUCCUCAAUUGCUUUCAAACUAAUUUUAGGGCACCGAAAACCCGAAUUAAGGCCCAUGUGAAUAUUCAUUUUAUGAAAUUAAUUGAAUACUUGCUCUGAAUUAAGAUAAAUUGUUCUGUUUGGUUCUGUAAAACUCCGAUCCUUAAUUUUAAAACGGAGACGGGAUACAGGUGUUACAAGCAACUUUUUAAAACUUUAACAGUUUCAUAAAUUGGUACAUAGGCUAGCUAAAUCAAGCACUUAUGACCCCUGUCAAAACCACUUUUUUUUUAUAAUUUGAAAAAUGGGGAUCGACUUUGAAGAUGAGAAUUGGAGUCGCCACCGAUCUUUUAUUAAGGUAUGAUCGGUUCACCAUUAAAAUAAAUUUUAGGUCUGCGAGAUUUGAGAAAAUAGGUCCGGGAGUCGGUUACGUACGAGGAAGGGUUAGCACCCUCGUGACGCCCAAAAUUGGUACCGCAUUGAUUGUUUAAUGUCUUAAUGUCAAAAUUUUUAAGAGAUUUUAAAAUACAACCUUUUAAAAAGAAAAUUUGAAUAUGAUAAUGUACCCUUAUCUUGCAAAAAUAAAUUGCCACACUCAGUGAGUUAGGGUGCAACAAUUCGAUCUUCAAAAUUAGAUUUGUCCCCUUUUUAAGAAAAUCAUAUAUUCGAAGAAGGAUAUUUGAUUAUUUGAGUCGAUCGGGAAAUCCGAACCCAAUAAGUUAGGGUUCAAUUCUCUCGAAAUUCUUAAACAUCAAACAUUGCCUUUAUUUUAAAAUUGAGAUAACAAAAUGUCGUAUCCAGUAAGUUAGGAUCCAACAUUUUGAAAUCUUAAGAAUUUUAUUUUAGAAACCACAAGGUUUUUUUUAUUACCAAAGAGAUGCUCGAUUACCCAAAUUCAUCAGAAAAAUUGAAGCCCAAUAAGUUAGGGCACAAUUCUCUCGUGAAUUAUGAAUGUCGAGUAUUAUAACAUCUAAAAGGGAUUUCAAAACUUAAACCAUAUUAAACAAAAAAUUUUAAUAAAAGAUAUUCGGUGGAAUAAUGUACAAUAUUAAGCAGUCAUUUGUAAUCAAAAUGCAAUCUAAUGAUCUACGAAUAAUUAACAAAUACAAACAAGCAAUACAAUACACCCAAAAGCAAUUUUCACAUCAUAUAUUAUGUUAACAUUUAAAAGCUAAUGAAUCUAAAGUCCAUCAAAACACUAAAUAAAUUAAUGCACAUGAAAAUGUACAAAAUUUUAAAAUAAUUUAAGAUGUAUAAAAAAAGAAAUUAUGAUUCAAAUAAAUUAAAAAUAAAUAUUAUAUAUAAGAAUUUGAAAUAAAUCACAAUUAUAGUUAAAAAAACAAUUGUCAAAUGGAAUAAUAAUACCCGAAUAAAUAAAAAAUGUCAUAAUUAAAAAAUAACAUAUAUUUAUUAAUUUAAAUAAAUAAUAUUUGUAAAAAAGGGAUAAUAACAUAUAAUACAUAAAAUGAAAUAAGUGAAAUACACCAAGGAGGCUUUUUUAAUGGAAUAAAUUACGUAUGUAUUAAUAAUAAGUAGAAAAUACAAUAAUAAAAUCAAUAAUAUACAUUUAUAUGUAAAAUAAACAUAAUUUUAUAUAAAUUAUAUAUACAUAUGUGUAUAAAAUAGUAUUAUAAGGGCAUUAUUAAUUUUUUAAAGCACAAAAGUAUAUGAAUAAACAUUUAAAAAAUGUAUUAUAAAAUAUAUAAAUAAUAAUUAACAUAAAAUAUAUGCUAAUAUAUUAGAAUAUAAAAAAAUUUAAAAUAACGAUGUGUAAUGAAAUAAAAUAAUGUAUGUGCAUAUAUAUGUGAAAAUAAGUAACUAUGUAUGCUAAGAUAAUAAUAAUAACAAUAAUAACAAUAGUAAAGAUAAUAAAUGAAAUGAUUUUAGCAAUAAUAAUAAAACAAAGGACAAAAUUGGUAAUAAAGCAGUAAUGCAGGGGAGAAAUCUAAACCAAAUAAAAGAACGGGUCCAAAUCGCAAAGCGCGAAUGACAUAGGGCACCGAAAGGGGAAUAUUCUCCACCCUCCAAAACGUGGCGUUGCACGCUGGACCAAAAUGAAAUGAAAACAGAAUACGAGGCCAAAUCAGGAAGAAAGAAAACACUUGAUUCGAAAGCACCAGAAAAGGGAAGGGGUUGGCCGUGCAAAUAUCCCUCCCUAAGCCAGAACACACGGAUCUAGCCGCGUCUGGGUCGGGUCAUCGGGUCGUGGCCUAAACGGCACCGUUUCAAGGCCAUUGAAUCCGGCCCAAAUGGUGUCGUUUCAUGAUUUCCCACUUAGCCAACAUUAAAACUAUAUUACCCUAAGCAAAAAAGAAAAGAAAGCCCUAAAAAAAACUAAUCCCCUCCAUUCAAACGACGCGUCGCUUCAGCCUCCUUUCAUCCCGUUCCAACUCCGAUUACAGCGGAGUGAACCAGGAUCCAACGCUCCCACCUCGAAGGUGAGUUUAUACUUCUUUCUUCCUCUUACUUUCGUCCUUCAAUCAUUAAAAAAAUGAAUAUGGAAAAAAAAACAUGAAAACAUCAUCGAAAAAGAAAAUCGAAGGAGAAUCACCUUUCGAAAACCCCUUUCUCUUUGAUUUCUGAGUAUUUUUUACAAUAAGUGUGCUCUCUUUUUUUGCCCUUUUUUUUGUAUUUCAAUCCGUCUGUUUACAGCAUUCGAAUGGCCUUUUAUGGCCCGUAUUACAAAAUGAAAUGAAAAGAAAAAAAAAGAAAAAUGUUCCCCCCCAAAUCCCCUCUGUUGCCCCUAUUCUGCUAUCUUUCUCUGUUUGUUUUCCUGUGUAUUUUACAGGUACGAGGGCAGAGGCCGACAUGGCGUGUACGGAGGCAAAACGAGCAGUGGUGGCGUAUGUGCGAAGGCGCGCACGCUGGCAGAGGCUCGGCACAUGGGGACGAAGGCCAUGGCGGCGCUGGAAGCCAAAUGUUGCUAGGGUUUCAGUCUCGGUUCGGGCUGGGUAUUGGGUUUGUAAUGUUUUUAUGGUAAUUGGGCCGUUUGUAAAUGGAUUGUUUAUUGGUUUUUAUUUUAUUCAUUUAUUUAUUUAGUUUACUUCACAACAGGCCAGGCAGAUUGGGCCUAUUACAACCCCAAAUCUAUAAAUAUUACAAGAAAAGAACUUGAAAUAACAUAUUUAAGUGUAGUGGUAUAUGGAAGUAAAGUGAAUUUCAAAGUGAGAAUAUAAUGAUUAAUGAAAAUGGACUAAAUUGAAUGAUAUGCAAAAAUUUAGAAUUAAGAUAAAUUUUUGUUCUGAUCUGGGAAAUGAAGUAUUAUGAGAUAGUGUGUUAUAUAUUUCAGGUGUCAAUGAAGUAUUAUUAUAGUGCUUAUUGAAUUUUUAUAAUAAGGACUAAAUUGAAAAGAAUUCAAAAGUAUAUAAGUUCUGUUUUGAAAUGUAAAAGUGAAGCUAAUUUUGAUAUAUUUGCCCAAGUAGACAAGAUGUAAACUUGUGGGAUAUAGAUGGCAUGACAUUAUGAAACAUUCGGCGCGCUCUCUAAUUUGUUAAUGCACUUCGGUGCCACUCUGUUUUGAUAAAGCACUUCGAUGUUAUUCUAUUCUGAUAUUGUACUUCGAUGCCACUCUAUUCUAUGAUUACACCUCGGUGAAACUUUGUAUUAUUUCUGUAUAUCCAACAUGUUCUAUUAAGUCUACAUUUGGCAUAUGUUAAAUAAUAAAGGACAAAAUAAAGUUUCAUUGAGGAUUGGGCUCUUCACAUCUCAUCACAUGUUAAGGACUUUAAGAUAAGUAUGGAAUCUUCAAAACUUUGGUUUAGAUUAAUGGCACGUACAUGGGUGAGCAAUAGCAUAAGAAAUGAGAUGUUUAGAUAUACUUAUACUCGUGUUAUAUAUAGUAUUUGGAGCGUUAAAUACAAUAUAUUACGUGGUUUAGGAGUCUUGGAUAAUGUUUGGACUGAUUAUAAGCAAAUUUGGUAUGGUUUAGAAGUGUUUGAAAGUAGAAAUUUCAGGUUCCCUAUCUCAGGUCUCGAGACAUCAAAACUUUGAACCUAAAAAUCUAUAGUAACAAUGCCAUGUCUCGAGACAAAAGCCCCAUUGUCUCGAAACCUACAACCUAUUAUCUCAAGAUCGGGCAACUUUGAACCCAAAUUCCUAUAGUGGCAUGGCAAUGUCUUAAGGCAUGAGGGCCAUGGUAUCGAGACAUACGGAUUUACAAGGCAAAACUUUCAAUUAGGUGUUAUGAGACCCUAAACAAAUUUUACAUACAAUUAAUCUUUAUUAUUAGUCAAAUUAUGUUCCUAAAAGCAUAAUAAGGGUAUGGAAUCAUUUGUAAAAAGUCUAAUUUAAAAGUAUUUGAAUUCAUAAGUGAAUCUUUAAUGUUAAAUGUAACACUCGUUGCUCGAGCUUACUCUAAUAACGGGUGUUAUAGCACAUAUCUAUUCAUUGAGGAAUGUAUUUGUGAGUAUAAUUAAGGGUAAAUAAAUUGUGUUUACAGUUUAAAUUCUCAGGGGGGAGUUUAGAUGUGAGUGUUGUAACCUUUAGGUACAAAGGUGAGACCUCUAUACUUGGGAAGUGAUAGAAUGUAAUUCACUUGUUGUAUUGGUGAUUAAAGAUAGUGGAAUUACUUACUGAGCUAGACUCCGUAGAUGUAGGGAAACUGAAUUGUGUAAACAAAUAUUGGUGUUCUUUGUUAUUUUGUUCACACAAUUUUCACAAUGAUAAGUCAUAAUGGCUAGUGCAAUCAGGCGCUUUUAUUCAACUUAGACAGUUCAAGCAAUUAAUGACUUUAGGUCUCAAUAAGUUACAUAAGUAAACAAAGUUUGAGGAAAAAAUUAGUCCCUAUAUUAAAUGAAGUUAGUCAUUUUGUCACACUAGCUCUAAUUUUUUUUUGGAUCACUUUGGCACUCAACAUUUAAAUUUUAGUCAAAUUACUUUUAUUAGAUGGAAAAGUUGAUCGAGCUAUGAAAAACUUAACCACAUUGAUGUGGCAACUCAAGUGUCAAUUCAUGUGUACUUCAUAAAAAUUUAAAAUUAUUAACAAAAUUUAAAGAUGUCAGAAAAAUCUGUAAAAAAAAAAGUAUCCAUAACAACAAUGAAUUACACAUAGACUAUCAAGCGAGCUGUCACAACAGUACUGUUAAAUUUUAAAUAAUUCAAUAAACUUUUUUAUUUAAAAAUAUAACAAUUUAACUAAAUUUUAAAGAUUAAGAGCAAAAAUAAUCCUUAAAAAAUAAAUAUUAAAACUAAAACAAAUAAAUACUAAAUACUAAAAUAUUCAUUAUGUAAAAAUUAAAUUUCAAAUUUAAUGAAAAGAAAGACUUACCACAUAUUAGUAGUUGCAACAUGGUAAUGAGCAUGAGGUCUCAUAUUUUACCCAUUCCCCAAAAGGUUCAAAAUCCAAGAGAGUGUAGGAAAAGAGUUGAAUGGAUAUGAAAGUGUUGGUCAAGUGGUGAUGGUUCCACCUUUAGUGUUUUUGGAUGGAUUGAUCUCCAACUUCUCCUAUAAUCUAUUGGGACAUUAAUUCCUAUUUUUACAUUUAUAGGUAGACCUAACUAAUUUUUCAAACUUUUAAAAUAUCUCCCAAAUAUACAAACUCAUUCCAAUCUUAUGAAAUAACAACUUCAACAAAACUAUGAAGUGCUAAUUCAAAAAGAUGCCUACCUACCUAUUCUUGAUUUGGAUUUUAAUUUGUUUCACAAGUUUCCCAUCCAACAUACUUCUUACUCCAUUGUUUCUUUAUUAUGUAUUUGAAAUUUGUAAAAGUUAUGAAUUUAAUUUUUGUAUUUUAAUUUAAUUAAUUUUAAUCUAUUUAUUUUUCGAAUCAGUCAGAUUUAGUUUAUGUUAUUUUAAAUUUUGAAAUUUUAGGCUUUACCCAAACGGUAACUGUUAAAUUUAAUUACUAGUCUUGUACUAUACAUACAGUAAUAGAUUUAGUCCAUAUUUUUCAAUUGGAUCAUUUUAAGUCGUGAAUUUUGAAAUUUUAAUCUUGACGCAAAUAACAGUCGUUAAUCCAUUAACUGAAAUUUUUAGUGAGUAAAAUGUGGAAAUAACAAGCUGAUAUGGCGUUACACAUAUAAUAAUAUGUUUGGUGUAUCAGAUUAUGGAAGUAACACAUAUAUCAUUUGGUGAUGACUGAAAUUUUAAAAUUUAAAAAGUAUAUAAACUAAAAAUGACCAAAUUAAAAUAUAAAAACUUAAUUUACAAUGUUUACAAAGUAUAGAAACUAAUAGCAUAAUUUAACCGAUAAACAACAAAACCUAGCUAGCAAGUUACAUUCAGGAAGAACAUUUGAUUUUGAAUUUAGUUCAAAAGGACCCUUCAAUAUUUCUUUUAAAUGAAAUUUCUCAAAUCACCCACAUGUUGAUAUACAUUAUUAUUAUUAUUUUUUGUAAAAACAUAAAAAAGGAAAAAAUAAUAAAUGACAAUUUUUAUUAAUUCAAUAUAUUACAGAAUAUGAGAAUGGAAAGAUAUUAUCUUUUGAAAUAAUAAAAUUAAAUAUAAAAAUUUUGAAAUAAAUGAUAACAUAACAUAAAAUUAUAUAAGAAAAAUAAUUGUUCAUUAACAUAAGGUUCCAAAUUACAUAUAAAGAAGCAGUCAAAACUGAGUUUGCUAUAGCAUGAGCUUGAACAGGUAAUUGUGAAUUUGUUUCAAGCACAAUGUUGUAGCCCAUUCUGUUUCCAAGCCCUCAUAGAGACCUCCAAUCACAUAUCACACAGUAGUAAAGGAGAGCUUCAAUUAUCAGAGUUGAGUUCUCUUCUCCUGGACAAUAGAAAAGCUGAGAUUAAGAUGAUAGUUUGUGUUGUAAGUAGUAAAGACCUAGAAGCUUUACCAUUUCCCUCAAUUGCUUUUGCAAUAUGUUCCCUGGAAAGCCCCAUUCCAAUGGGAGAACAAUGAAUCUAACUUUUCCCAUUCUUACAGGCUUUGUUUAUUUUCAAGCAUUUCUUUCCUUGUUGGGUUCACGGAGCUUUAGCUAUGGAUUUGUAAGAAAUAGCACAAUUAAGGCCAUUGACAAGUUUUAGCUGGACUGACACCACCAACUAAAUAGAAUACCAAUGAAAGAUUCAAGUUAUUUUUCCAUUCGGAAAUACAGAUGAAACCUAGGAAAUGGACUCCACACAGGAGCUGUCCCAUAGAACAAAAGCCUAAAAGACCUGCCCAAAACACCGGCAAAAUUAACGAAUCACUGUAACAAAAUGCAAGAUCCCCACAACUGCAGUGAGUCAUCCAUUGAGUUGUAGCUUGAAGGCUUGGAUUUCGGCUUGGGACAGAAAUGGUGACCAAAGAAGCAAAGAAAGGAAAAAAGAUGAGACCUGUACUCAUUGGUUAACAAUGGCAAAGCUUGGUUGUACACUUCUUUGGCCCUCAAAAUGAAAAAUUAAGUCUUCAACUAAAUUGGAAAUAAUUAAAAAAAUUCAAACAAAAUGGAAGAAGUCCCUUUGUGUUACCUCAAGUGGAACAAAUGAUGAGGAGGAAUAUUUUACAAUUGUAUGGCCUUCACAUCCCAGGUUGUGUCCUAGUUGCAACUGACUCAGACAACUCGAGUGAUAGUGGUGCUGAGUAUAUUGUUGAUUUUAUGGAUACUUAUAAAACUAUGCUAGCUAAUUCGGACUAGGUGUGAAAGAUUAAUGGGAGGUUGACUUAUGAGAAUUCCAUGCAGACACGAGAAUGGGGGCCCAAACUAGAAGCUACCUUGAAGGAAUCGACAACUGCACAGUCUGUGACACGAGUAUGGGCCCAAAUUCCAGCCUAAGAAUAUGUUGUUCUUAACCUUUUAUAAGGUCAAUUUGACAACCCCAAAAAAUAGCAAAAUUUAAAGCCAAACUUUGGACGUGAGACAAUGCGCGGAUGAGAUAAAUUUUAUGAAUGAAUUUUAUUAACUUACAUUCAUAAAACAUCUUGUUUUUCAAGCUCAAAAGAUUAGUUGACUUGUGAUGAGCUUUUGGAUGAAUCCAAACAUUUCUAGGUUGAGAUUCUUUUAUUAUGUUUGAAGAGUUAUCUCUUGUCUUCGAGACACACUUUGAAUCACCUGAUUUCAAAUCUUAAAACUCAAGUUAUGACAAUUUUAGUGAAGACUGCACGAUUUUGCUGUACGGGAUUAUUACGAGAAAUUAUGAGCUUCGAGCUUUAAUUCGAGUUUAAAUCAUAUUGAGUUUGAUUUUAAGGCUCAAUUUUAACUAUAUGAACCCAAAAUUGUAUUUGUUAAAUUUUUUAUUUUUUUUAUUUUUCCAAAAUUUGUGACGUUUUUAGGUAUUUAAAGUUGUUUACAAGUUUUAUAUUUCUUAGUUAACAAGAUAGUUUAGUUCCAUUAGAACUAGUGUCAUUAUACUUAAGAGUUUUAUUUUGAUGUAAUUAACUAGCUUAUAUAAAGGCUUCUUCAUUAUUCAUUAAACACACCACCCAUUGAAUAAAGCUUUUUUUUCAACUCUUUGAAUUUUAUCUUUGCAAGAUAGCUUUCUUGUGAUUUGUAAAAGUAUUUUCUUCUAAUGCAUAUCCGGACUAUCCAAGUUUGAAAGUUAUUGAUUGACAUGUCCAAAACAGCAAAAAAAAAAAAAAACCUUUUCAAGGUUUUUCAUUUCAUGAAAGAUUUUAAUUGCAUGAUUUUCUGUACUCAAAGAUUAGGUCAUUGAAUAUUUUUAAAAUAAGAAAAAAAAUCAAAAUGAUUGUUUUGUAAUAGCUUAAAAAUUAUAAUUUUUCUUAGAGUAAUUUAAUUAAAGAAUAUGAUAUUAAUUUAAAAUAUGACAGUUGGAUUUAAGCUAACUUGAUUUUUUACCAUAUUCACAAAGAUGGCACUAGUUUAAAAUGGGCACAAUAAGAAUGAUGUUAAAUACUCUUUUUAUUUAACGAGUUUUGGAGGUACGUUGAGGAAUAUUAAAAAUGUGUCUUUUUUUUAAAUUUUAGAAAUAGAAGUAAAUUGAAAAGUUUUGUAAAAUUUGAUAACUAAAUUCAUUGGAUUUUUACAAUUCAAACUAAAAUGACAAAUUUUGUAAACAUAGAGUGCUAAAUUUGUUGAAUUUUUUAGAUUUAUGAUUAAAUUGAUAGAAUGCGUAAACAUUGGAGAGCUAAAUUUGUUAUUAGGCCAAUAUAAUUGUGUUUUUCAUGCAUGUAAACUUUUGAACAAAUCCGAUUUUUCUUUCAUAUCGACCUAAAUCAUUCUCUCUCUCUCUCUCUCUCUCUCUAUAUAUAUAUACAACGAUUGAAAUUUCUUUACAUAAAAUAAAUAGUUAGAAAAUUUAAAUUUACGUCAAAUAUGACAUACAUGAAUACACCAUGAAAUAUAACGGUUGGAUUGUUAAAAUACUACUUUAGUUUUUACACUGUGUGGGUCCCUCCCUAUAUAGAGUUACACAUCAUAAAAACUUACACACUUUCAUAACUAAUUUAUAUGAUUAAUAUUUUAAUGAUCCAACCGUUGAAUUUAUCAAUAUAAUUGUAUUUGUCAUGCACGUAAACUUUCGAAUAAAUUAAUAUCUCUAUCAUAUUGAUCUAAAACACUAUAUAUUAAUAUAUAUUCAAGGGUUGAAAUUUUUUACAUAAAAAAAAACAGUUAGAAAUUUUAAAUUUACAUUAAAUUUGACAUACACGAUCUAAAUGAAUAGACCACGAAAUAUAACGGUGGGAUCAUUAAAGUAUUAAUCAUAUAGACAGUUAUGAAAAUGUGUAAAACUAUUUUAGUUUUUACACUAUGUAAGUGGAUCCUCCCUAUACAGAGUUACACCGUGUAAAAACAAAAGUAGUUUUACAUGCUUCCGUAACUAUCUAUAUGAUUAAUAUUUUAAUGAUGUAAUCGUUGAAUUUAUCAACAUGCAUGUAAAUUUUCAAACAGAUCUGAUAUCUCUAUCAUAUUGAUCUAAAACACUCUAUAUAUUAAUAUACAUUCAACGAUUGAAAUCAUUUUUAACAACAUUAAUUGAAAAUAAAAUAUUUAUAAAACUAUAAUUAUUUAUAUAUAAUAAAUAUAUAAAAUCAAUAAUUAUUCAAAUCUAUAAAAUUUAAAUUUAGUGAUAAUAUAAAAUAUAGAUUAUAGUAAAAGAUAGACUUAUAUAAUAUUAUAAUGUUUAAUCAUCAAUGCAUAUAUAAAAAUUAUUAAUAUAUUAUAUAUCAAACGAUACAUUAUAUGAUAUAGUAGAAGAGUUUACUUUCAAAUGUUCGAAGAAUAUAGAGUACUGACUUUUACAAAUUGCAUUUGGGUAUUGAGUUAAAUUUCUUUUUAUUUUUUACUUGAGAUUUGUGCUAAAAUUAAUAAUGAGUAAAUUAGUAUAAUAUAUUUGAGUUUUGGAAUAAAUAUUUUAGAAAUGAGUAUUAGAUUUAUAAAUUUAAUAAGAAACACAAAAGUUAUUUAAUUUUUAAUAUAAUAUAAUAUAAUAAUAAACAAUAAAAAACAUUUCCGUUAAGUGACAUACAUAUCAUACAAUAAGCACUUCAAUUAUUUUAUAUAAAAGAGCUAUAUUAAAUAUAUAUGAUUUAUAUUUUUAUAAGACAAAUUUGAGUUGUGUUGUCAUCGUAUUAAAGUAAAAUAAAUUAUUACAUACUAAAUUAAAAACAUUUAUAAUUUCAAUCCGUUAGAGCUCGCCCAAUUUUAAAAAAUUUUGAGUUCAAAAAAUUUCAAAUAUAAAAAGACUUGAAUCCAAAAAAUCUAAACUCAAAAUAAUCAGGUUUGCCACCUCGAAUCACAUGAAAUGUCAAUCGUUGGGCGAAACAUGCGGGUUUCCGGCUUUGUUAAACUACUUUGUCCCAACCCGUCUUAAAAGUUCCAACUUAAGAAAGCCCAAAAUAAAUAACAAUAAGGAAGUAGAAUUGGUGCUUACAACAAAAAAGUGAGUGGUUGAGUGCCCUUCUAAUCUUACCACAAAAUUGAUUAUUUUUUUAAUAAUUGUGAGAGGAGAGAGAAAUUGUUUGGUAUCGAAUUUAAAUUUGUAUAGUUAUAAUGUAAUGUUCUUGUAAAUUUUAAAAGAUUUAUUCCAUUAUUAAUAUACACAAAUUCAAAUAUACUGAAAUGUAAGGAUUGAAGAAUAGUUACAGAACCACAAAGUAGAGAGUGGCAGGCUGAUAAACUAGGAAGAAAGUGAAGUGGGAAAUUUUAUUUUCAUCUAUUACCGAUACCCGAGUAUAUAAUAGACCACAAGCAUCAAAUGUGGAAAACAUGACAUACAUUACUCGCUAGAAAAGAAAUAGAAACGGGUGUCACCACCACAAAAAAGUAGAAAUGCAAUAAAAUUAACACAACAUAGUGGAAGACGAAACAGUGCUAACACAAUAACCAGCAGUAGGGUAAAAGUUUUAUGCAAGGAUUUCCUCCAAUGGCUUGGCUUCAAGCUUGGGCUUCUCAUUCUCAGCCUCCUUCUCCUUCAACUGUUGCUGCUCUUUGGCCAGCUUCUUCAGCCUGGCAAGCUCAAGAUCCUUGCUCAUCUUCCUCCUAUACAUCUCAGCAAAUGUGAUGGGCUCCUCAAGGAUUGGUUUCUCUCCUUCUCUGAUCUUCAAGGGAUACACUGUGGCAUCGGGUGCUGGAUUUUGGAAUGUGGCUAUUGACAAUCUGCUGCAGUUUGAGUUCACCACUGCUUGGUGAUCAGCAUUCUUGAACCUCCCAUUGCUCAGAUACUGCUCACCAUCAAUUAUUUCAGUCAUUACUCCACUCUCACAUAAAUCAUAACAAUUUCAAUUUUUUUUCCAAGUAAAAAACUUACAUGGCCAUGGUCUCCAAGGUUGACCACAAAGGCUCCUUCCACAGGUUGGACAGUGAUCCACGUCUUGCCAUUGUCCCGGGUGGCCUGAAGCCCACCAACUUGGUCUUGAAGCAAGA